rnacentral:rRNA from 1 species
GACGAACGCUGGCGGCGUGCCUAAUACAUGCAAGUAGAACGCUGAAGGAGGAGCUUGCUUCUCUGGAUGAGUUGCGAACGGGUGAGUAACGCGUAGGUAACCUGCCUGGUAGCGGGGGAUAACUAUUGAAAACGAUAGCUAAUACCGCAUAAGAGUAGAUGUUGCAUGACAUUUGCUUAAAAGGUGCAAUUGCAUCACUACCAGAUGGACCUGCGUUGUAUUAGCUAGUUGGUGAGGUAACGGCUCACCAAGGCGACGAUACAUAGCCGACCUGAGAGGGUGAUCGGCCACACUGGGACUGAGACACGGCCCAGACUCCUACGGGAGGCAGCAGUAGGGAAUCUUCGGCAAUGGACGGAAGUCUGACCGAGCAACGCCGCGUGAGUGAAGAAGGUUUUCGGAUCGUAAAGCUCUGUUGUAAGAGAAGAACGAGUGUGAGAGUGGAAAGUUCACACUGUGACGGUAUCUUACCAGAAAGGGACGGCUAACUACGUG